rnacentral:rRNA from 1 species
AUUGAACGCUGGCGGCAUGCCUUACACAUGCAAGUCGAACGGCAGCACGGGAGCAAUCCUGGUGGCGAGUGGCGAACGGGUGAGUAAUGUAUCGGAACGUGCCCAGUCGUGGGGGAUAACGUAGCGAAAGCUACGCUAAUACCGCAUACGAUCUAUGGAUGAAAGCGGGGGACCGUAAGGCCUCGCGCGAUUGGAGCGGCCGAUAUCAGAUCAGGUAGUUGGUGGGGUAAAGGCCUACCAAGCCGACGAUCUGUAUCUGGUCUGAGAGGACGACCAGCCACACUGGGACUGAGACACGGCCCAGACUCCUACGGGAGGCAGCAGUGGGGAAUUUUGGACAAUGGGCGCAAGCCUGAUACAGCAAUGCCGCGUGCAGGAUGAAGGCCUUCGGGUUGUAAACUGCUUUUGUACGGAGCGAAAAGGCUCUCUCUAAUACAGGGGGCUCAUGACGGUACCGUAAGAAUAAGCACCGGCUAACUACGUGCCAGCCGCCGCGGUAAUAC